rnacentral:rRNA from 1 species
UCAGGCCUAACACAUGCAAGUCGAACGGUAACAUUUCUAGCUUGCUAGAAGAUGACGAGUGGCGGACGGGUGAGUAAUGCUUGGGAACUUGCCUUUGCGAGGGGGAUAACAGUUGGAAACGACUGCUAAUACCGCAUAAUGUCUACGGACCAAACGGGGCUUCGGCUCCGGCGCAAAGAGAGGCCCAAGUGAGAUUAGCUAGUUGGUAAGGUAACGGCUUACCAAGGCGACGAUCUCUAGCUGUUCUGAGAGGAAGAUCAGCCACACUGGGACUGAGACACGGCCCAGACUCCUACGGGAGGCAGCAGUGGGGAAUAUUGCACAAUGGGGGAAACCCUGAUGCAGCCAUGCCGCGUGUGUGAAGAAGGCCUUCGGGUUGUAAAGCACUUUCAGUUGUGAGGAAAAGUUAGUAGUUAAUACCUGCUAGCCGUGACGUUAACAACAGAAGAAGCACCGGCUAACUCCGUGCCAGCAGCCGCGGUAAUACGGAGGGUGCGAGCGUUAAUCGGAAUUACUGGGCGUAAAGCGCACGCAGGCGGUUUGUUAAGCUAGAUGUGAAAGCCCCGGGCUCAACCUGGGAUGGUCAUUUAGAACUGGCAGACUAGAGUCUUGGAGAGGGGAGUGGAAUUCCAGGUGUAGCGGUGAAAUGCGUAGAUAUCUGGAGGAAAAUCAGUGGGGAAGGCGACUCCCUGGCCAAAGA